rnacentral:rRNA from 1 species
AUGCUGAGAGGAGAACCUCGAGUGAGAACUUGGCGGCAAAUGAAAAGUCUCUUGAAAGGGAGAUUUUUGCCCACUAAUUAUGACCAGAUCCUAUUUAUCCAAUUUCAAAAUUGUGCUCAAGGAAAUAGGACUGUUUCAGAUUCUAUGGAGGAGUUUCUAAGGCUACAAGUGAGGUGCAACCUUACUGAAAUUGAACAACAACAAGUUGCAAGGUACAUCAAUGUACUCAAUGAUGCUAUUCAAGAUCGAUUGAUGAUGCAACAAAUCUGGUCCGUUGAUCAAGCACAAGCUCUAGCCUUAAAGGCCCAGAGGUUUGUGAGGACAAGAAAGGCAACUAAGGCUCCAUAUCCUCCAUAUCACUACAAAAAAAUACACUUCCAUGAUGAUACGUGUUUGUCAUAG